UCAGGCAUUGAGGGACAAGACUCCCACCAAGCUUGGUUGUGCGUGACUCGGAUUUGUGGCGGCACGGCAAGGUGAGGAAGAAACGAGUACAAAGCGUUCAAAUGUGUUUCCUGGAAAGCAAUUAAAACUUCCCAGAGAAGAUAUUAAAGAGGAAGAGACUGGGAGAGGCACUGAUCAGCGUACUAAUCUUUGGCUUCAACCCCACCAUAACACAAGAGCACUCUGCAGCGCAUCAUAAAAUGGGAGAACUACGUCAAACUUAGAAGUGUUGUUGCAGUCUCUGAGCAGUACAUUUCAUCUGAUUGGAAUGCUUCAGGACAGCCUAACCCUGACUUCAGGCUCUUGUCUGACAGAAAGGCAUCCACAGAGAGAAAAAGAGCUUGGCAGAACAGCUCCACCUUUUCAGUCUGCCAGCAGGACCAAACAGGUCCUCAGUCCAGAGAAAUGAGAGCCACGGUUGUACACCAUAAAUUGCUGAUAUAAACAGCUUUAUUUCUACAUGGUCUGCGACUCACCGUGAUAACUGCAUGGUCAUCCCAGAAGAAAAAUGAGCCCCUCUUCAGUUGGGCAGGAGCACUUGAAGCCAAUGAGUUUGGAAAUUUGGACGCACCAGUAACAAACAGGAAACCAUAUUCAUUACACUAAAGUCAGAGUUUGAUUAUGGUUCAUGGGGAUUUGCCAGUCAUUUGGUCUUAUUUUAGAGCAUGUAUACUGUAAACUGUAAUUCAGAGUGGCAGUUAUAUUACAUUCAAUUUCUGCCAAGCUCUGCCUCUGCCGACAGAAGAAAAAAAAUGUUUUCUUGACUUAGCAAAGAAGUGUAUUGCAUACUUGGAUUCAUCUGAUGAAACAAACUCAUUGCACCAAGGCGUGAGCAGGUUGCCUAAGAUGUUCUCUCAGCUAGACAAGUCUCUCGCGUGUUUCUUUUUUUUCUAAUUCUCUCAAUGUUGUGCAAAAGCCCAGUUUAAUGAUGCAAUUAUGGAUGACAGUACAGCACAGGAGU